GCGGAUAUGGUGGAAUUGGCAGACACGAUAGACUUAGGAUCUAUUGCGCAAGCGUGCAGGUUCAAGUCCUGUUAUCCGCACCA
rnacentral:tRNA from 1 species